rnacentral:rRNA from 1 species
GACGAAGGAUGCAAGCGUUAUCCGGAUUCAUUGGGUUUAAAGGGUGCGUAGGCGGCCAGAUAAGUCAGUGGUGAAAUCCUGUUGCUUAACAACAGAACUGCCAUUGAUACUGUCUGGCUUGAGUAUAGUUGCUGUGGGCGGAAUAUGACAUGUAGUGGUGAAAUACAUAGAGAUGUCAUAGAACACCGAUUGCGAAGGCAGCUCACAAAACUAUAACUGACGCUGAGGCACGAAAGUGCGGGGAUCAAACAGG